GAUGAACGCUGGCGGCGUGCUUAACACAUGCAAGUCGAACGAAGGUCGGAGAGCUUGCUCUUCGAUACUGAGUGGCGGACGGGUGAGUAACGCGUGGGUAACCUGCCCUAUGCAGGGGGAUAACGUUUGGAAACGAACGCUAAUACCGCAUAAACUAUGGACAGUCGCAUGACUGUUAUAGCAAAGAUUUUAUCGGCAUAGGAUGGACCCGCGUUGGAUUAGCUAGUUGGUGAGAUAACAGCCCACCAAGGCGACGAUCCAUAGCCGGCCUGAGAGGGUGAACGGCCACAUUGGGACUGAGACACGGCCCAAACUCCUACGGGUGGCAG
rnacentral:rRNA from 1 species